CGCCUCCGUCGUGCUGCUUUCAAGCAUUUUCCCAUUUACUUUAGUCAGACGCAGCCUGUUCACUGUGAGCAUUCAGCCUACCCCGAUGGUCUCCUGGUAGACAUGGAUUACAAACUGCAUCCCACCUUUUGAUCACUAGUUUCACAGGUCAAACCCAGGUUUAAGAGCAGAUUUCUUGAGGCAAGAAACUGCACAUGGAGCUCACAGAAAACAAGAACAAAAUGGAAUUCAAACAAACGAUGUGGGCCAGAGCGGUAAUACUUUACUGCGGUGUGGUAUUCCUCUACCACCAGGCCUUAGCAGUGGGUGAGUUAUUUGAUCUACAGAUUUAUGUGAUUUAUGACAUAACAAACCAAGCAGGUUACUCUCUAUGACAAGAACUAGAAAAGGGCCACAUGAGGACAAGUGAAUUUACUAACUCUCUCACACAAGCAGAUGCACUCUUGAAGACCCUCCCCAAUCAUUAGAAUUAGCUGCCGAAAAGGCUCUCUUGCACAUUUGCCUAAAAUAAAAUACAAAUGUUCCUUUGUGUCACUGAUUGUUUUAGAUACCUACAUGGCUGAGUUCAUGGUAGAGAGCAAUGUUACAUUUGACAUCUCUGGUACUCUAUCAUCGAUCAAGGAAAUAACUACAGAUAAUGGAAGUAUGACCAUUGAACUGCUUGAACUAACAGCGGGUACAGUAUCAUUAUUUCUACCAAAUAUGGUUUGAUAGAGAAAUGUUCCUCUAUCAGUGUUUUUUCAUCCGUAGUCUGAUUGUUGUUGAUUGAUCAUGUGUGUUUCUGUGUAGAAUGUGAAAUUGUUGGGGGUAAUUCUAAAUGUAACUGUUCGACAACGUACAUCUGGAGCAACGCAGUGUGUGACGAGUUCCAGUGCUGCAAUGGCUCGUCUUGUUAUGCAAAUAUUUCUGACUUGCCAGCCUUCUGUAUUCCCAAAGUGAAAGGUAUUAUUGUUGAUACUUAUUUUUACUUCCAUUAUUUGAUAUGAUCAAUAGGAUGGAUAACACUGUUGUCACAAUUCUAAUGUUUUGUUUUUGUUUACAUAGUUUUCUUUAAUGGAACAGUCACAGUGGAAAAAGUAUUUAGUGAAACUAAUACUAUCAAACAACAGGUACAUUUUCAUUUUUAUAUUUAGGGAAUUAAAUUCUGAUGAAAUAGUAUAAUUUG
ensembl:lncRNA